rnacentral:rRNA from 1 species
CUACGUGCCAGCAGCCGCGGUAAUACGUAGGUCCCGAGCGUUGUCCGGAUUUAUUGGGCGUAAAGCGAGCGCAGGCGGUUAGAUAAGUCUGAAGUUAAAGGCUGUGGCUUAACCAUAGUACGCUUUGGAAACUGUUUAACUUGAGUGCAAGAGGGGAGAGUGGAAUUCCAUGUGUAGCGGUGAAAUGCGUAGAUAUAUGGAGGAACACCGGUGGCGAAAGCGGCUCUCUGGCUUGUAACUGACGCUGAGGCUCGAAAGCGUGGGGAGCAAACAGGAUUAGAUACCCUGGUAGUCCACGCCGUAAACGAUGUCGAUUUGGAGGUUGUGCCCUUGAGGCGUGGCUUCCGGAGCUAACGCGUUAAAUCGACCGCCUGGGGAGUACGGCCGCAAGGUUAAAACUCAAAUGAAUUGACGGGGGCCCGCACAAGCGGUGGAGCAUGUGGUUUAAUUCGAUGCAACGCGAAGAACCUUACCUGGUCUUGACAUCC